rnacentral:rRNA from 1 species
CAGCAGUGGGGAAUUUUGGACAAUGGGCGCAAGCCUGAUCCAGCAAUGCCGCGUGCAGGAAGAAGGCCUUCGGGUUGUAAACUGCUUUUGUCAGGGAAGAAAUCCUCUAGGUUAAUACCCUUGGGGGGAUGACGGUACCUGAAGAAUAAGCACCGGCUAACUACGUGCCAGCAGCCGCGGUAAUACGUAGGGUGCAAGCGUUAAUCGGAAUUACUGGGCGUAAAGCGUGCGCAGGCGGCUUUGCAAGACAGAUGUGAAAUCCCCGGGCUCAACCUGGGAACUGCAUUUGUGACUGCAAGGCUAGAGUACGGUAGAGGGGGAUGGAAUUCCGCGUGUAGCAGUGAAAUGCGUAGAUAUGCGGAGGAACACCAAUGGCGAAGGCAAUCCCCUGGACCUGUACUGACGCUCAUGCACGAAAGCGUGGGGAGCAAACAGGAUUAGA